rnacentral:rRNA from 1 species
CCUACGGGAGGCAGCAGUGGGGAAUAUUGGGCAAUGGGCGCAAGCCUGACCCAGCAACGCCGCGUGAAGGAAGAAGGCUUUCGGGUUGUAAACUUCUUUUAAGAGGGAAGAGCAGAAGACGGUACCUCUUGAAUAAGCCACGGCUAACUACGUGCCAGCAGCCGCGGUAAUGCGAAGGUGGCAAGCGUUGUCCGGAUUUACUGGGUGUAAAGGGCGUGCAGCCGGGAAGACAAGUCAGAUGUGAAAUCCCGCGGCUCAAACGCGGAACUGCAUUUGAAACUGUUUUUCUUGAGUGCCGGAGAGGUCAUCGGAAUUCCUUGUGUAGCGGUGAAAUGCGUAGAUAUAAGGAAGAACACCAGUGGCGAAGGCGGAUGACUGGACGGCAACUGACGGUGAGGCGCGAAAGCGUGGGGAGCAAACAGGAUUAGAUACCCCAGUAGUC